AGUGAACGCUGGCGGUAGGCCUAACACAUGCAAGUCGAACGGCAGCACAGUAAGAGCUUGCUCUUACGGGUGGCGAGUGGCGGACGGGUGAGGAAUACAUCGGAAUCUACUUUUUCGUGGGGGAUAACGUAGGGAAACUUACGCUAAUACCGCAUACGACCUACGGGUGAAAGCAGGGGAUCUUCGGACCUUGCGCGAUUGAAUGAGCCGAUGUCGGAUUAGCUAGUUGGCGGGGUAAAGGCCCACCAAGGCGACGAUCCGUAGCUGGUCUGAGAGGAUGAUCAGCCACACUGGAACUGAGACACGGUCCAGACUCCUACGGGAGGCAGCAGUGGGGAAUACUGGACAAUGGGCGCAAGCCUGAUCCAGCCAUACCGCGUGGGUGAAGAAGGCCUUCGGGUUGUAAAACCCUUUUGUUGGGAAAGAAAAGCAGCAGGUUAAUACCCCGCUGUUCUGACGGUACCCAAAGAAUAAGCACCGGCUAACUUCGUG
rnacentral:rRNA from 1 species